GUGCUUUCUUUGGCAGCACAUAUACUAAAAUUGGAACAAUACAGAGAUUAGCAUGGCCUCUGCACAAAGAUGAUAUGUGAAUUUAUAAAGCAUGUUUUAUACUU